UACGUAGGGGGCAAGCGUUGUCCGGAAUCAUUGGGCGUAAAGAGCGCGUAGGCGGUCCGGUAAGUCCGCUCUGAAAGUCCGGGGGCUCAACCCCGGGAGGCGGGCGGAUACUGUCGGGCUAGAGUCCGGAAGAGGCGAGUGGAAUUCCUGGUGUAGCGGUGGAAUGCGUAGAGAUCCGGAAGAACACCAGUGGCGAAGGCGGCCCGCUGGGCAGUGGCUGACGCUGAGGCGCGACAGCGUGGGGAGCAAACAGG
rnacentral:rRNA from 1 species